rnacentral:rRNA from 1 species
UAAAAAUGUUAAAUAGCCGCGGUAUCUUGACCGUGCAAAGGUAGCAUAAUCAUUAGUUUUUUAAUUGGAAACUAGAAUGAAUGGUUGAACAAGGAAAGUACUGUCUUUUUUAUUAAAAUUGAAAUUAACUUCCAAGUGAAAAGGCUUGGAUUAACUAAGGGGACGAUAAGACCCUAUAAAACUUUAUAAGUUUAAAGAUCUCUACUAUUUUUUUUUAUAAAGUUUUUUUUGAUAGCUUAUUUGGUUGGGGCGACAAAGGUAUAAUUAUGAAUAACUGCCAUUAAAAUUAAUACAUUUAUUGAUGAUUGUUGAUAAAUAGUUGAUCCUUUUUAAAGAUUAAAAGAUCAAGUUACUUUAGGGAUAACAGCGUAAUUUCUUCUGAGAGUCCUUAUCAAAGAGGAAGUUUGCGACCUCGAUGUUGAAUUAAAAGUUCUUUAUAGUGCAGCAGCUAUAGAAGAAGGUCUGUUCGACCUUUAAUUUUUU